rnacentral:rRNA from 1 species
GCUGACCUUAGUACGAGAGGACCGGGUUGGACGAACCUAUGGUGUACCGGUUGUGGCGCCAGCUGCAUCGCCGGGUAGCUAAGUUCGGAAAGGAUAACCACUGAAAGCAUCUAAGUGGGAAGCCCCCUUCAAGAUAAGGUAUCUAUUAAGAGUCGUUCUAGACUAGGACGUUGAUAGGCAGGAUGUGUAAGCGUGGUAACGCGUUCAGCUGACCUGUACUAAAUACUCGUUUUGCUUUAUUC